rnacentral:lncRNA from 1 species
CCAUUUCAGCACUGACCCUAGAAGCACAGAUCAUGUGGUCAUCAUCAGUCAUUAAGGACAAGUAAUGCCUUGAAUAUGUGACCACACGUGGCAGCUGACAUCUGUACAGGCAAAUGGCCACAUGCAAGAAGCAUUCACAACAGGGUAGUCGGGACAAGACCACAGGUUAAAACAGCUCUCAAGAUCAAGACUCUUCACCUCAGGAGCGCCUGGGUGGCUCAGUUGGUUAAGUGUCUGCCUUUGAUUCAGGUUGUGAUCUGAGUCCUGAGAUCGGGUCCGCUCCCUGCUCACUGCUUGUGCUCUCUCUCUCUCUCUCUGUCAAAUAAAGAAAACCUUAAAAAAAAAAAAAAAGACAUUUCACCUCAGAUCUCUUAUUUUCUUCUCUUGCUGCAAUGGAAUUGAAAAACAGCCACCACCUCCUUAUGCAUAAACAUUUUUCCUACAUGUAAAAGUCAUGCCCAGAAUCACAGAGUUUAGGGCUCGAAGUCCCCAUAUGGA